rnacentral:ncRNA from 1 species
AUUCUUUGAGGUGAAAAAAGCGUAGUCAUACACCGCAUGCCAUUUGGCAAUGGGUAAAAGAGAUGUUGGAGUGACGCACCAACCAAGGAAU